rnacentral:rRNA from 1 species
UACAGAGGGUGCUAGCGUUAAUCGGAUUUACUGGGCGUAAAGCGUGUGUAGGCGGUUCGUUAAGUCGGGUGUGAAAUCCCUGGGCUCAACCCGGGAAUUGCAUUCGAUACUGGCGAGCUAGAGUACGGUAGAGGGCGGCGGAAUUCCGGGUGUAGCGGUGAAAUGCGUAGAUAUCUGGAGGAACACCGGUGGCGAAGGCGGCAUCCUGGACCGGCAUUGACGCUGAGGCGCGAAAGCCAGGGGAGCAAACGGG